rnacentral:rRNA from 1 species
AGAGUUUGAUCAUGGCUCAGGAUGAACGCUAGCGGCAGGCCUAAUACAUGCAAGACGAACGGUAAGUUGGGUAGCAAUACUUGACCUAGAGUGUCGUAAGGGUGCGUAACACGUAUGCAAUCUGCCCUCAACAGGAGGAUAGCUCGCCGAAAGGCGAAUUAACACUCCAUAAGAUCGUAGUGUGGCAUCACAUAGCGAUUAAAACUCCGGUGGUUGAGGAUGAGCAUGCGGAUGAUUAGCUAGUUGGUGAGGUAACGGCUCACCAAGGCGAUGAUCAAUAGGGGAACUGAGAGGUUGAUCCCCCACACUGGCACUGAGAUACGGGCCAGACUCCUACGGGAGGCAGCAGUAGGGAAUAUUGGACAAUGGGCGCAAGCCUGAUCCAGCCAUGCCGCGUGCAGGAAGAAGGCUUUCUGAGUUGUAAACUGCUUUUGCCAGGGGAUAAAAAGUCCCUGCGGGGAAAAUUGAAGGUACCUGGUGAAUAAGCCACGGCUAACUACGUGCCAGCAGCCGCGGUA